rnacentral:rRNA from 1 species
UCAGGCCUAACACAUGCAAGUCGUACGGGAAUUUUUAAUUCAAGUGGCGGACGGGUGAGUAACACGUAAGAAUUUGCCUUUAGGAGGGGGACAACAACUGGAAACGGUUGCUAAUACCCCAUAUGCUUUCGAGUGAAAUGGAUUUUUCCGCCUAAAGAGAAGCUUGCGGCUGAUUAGCUUGUUGGUGAGGUAAUGGCUCACCAAGGCGACGAUCAGUAUCUGGUUUGAGAGGAUGAUCAGACACACUGGAACUGAGACACGGUCCAGACUCCUACGGGAGGCAGCAGUGGGGAAUUUUCCGCAAUGGGCGAAAGCCUGACGGAGCAAUCUCGCGUGAGGGAUGACAGCGUAUGGGUUGUAAACCUCUUUUUCAGGGAGGAACAAAAUGAC